rnacentral:lncRNA from 1 species
UACCAAUAAGAUGUUAAGCAAUUCAGUUGCAAAUAGUCACUCCCUAAGACCUUUUUGUCUAUGUUUUGAUUAAAAAUAAAAUAAAAUGGUCUUUUAGAAGUCUAAGGCCGUAUCAAUAACCCUCUUGAAAGUGUAAAGGUCAACCAUUAUUAACUCUUAUAAAGCAUAAGUUGGUAGGCCCAAGUGUAUGGCUUGUGAAUGGGUGUUACUAAUGCAAGAUGGAUAUAGAUCCUUAAUCAUAUUCUUUUGUGGUGCCU